GCGCUGGUUUAGCUCAGUGGGUUACUUCUUUGAAAAAGUUAGUUCGUGGUCUGCAGGCCAGAGGUACGACCCCGGGCGCUGUCCUGUGCUUUU
ensembl:vault_RNA Vault Vault RNA